ensembl:lncRNA
CUGCAACCUCCGUCUCCCAGGCUGAAGUGAUUCUCCGGCCUCAGCCUCCUGAGCAGCUGGCAUUACAGAUGUGCGCCACUACUGCCCGGCUAAUUUUUGUAUUUUUCUUUUUUUAGUAGAGACAGAGUUUCACCGUGUUGGCCAGGCUGUCUCAAACUCCUGAUCUCAAAUGAUCCACCCGCCUCGGGUUCCCAAAGUGCUCGGAUUACAGGCGUGAGCCACCAUACCUGGCCGAGCAUCUGCAUUUUUAUUUGCUAAAUCUGGCAACACUAUUUGUGAGAAGAUCAGUGGAGAAUUUGAAAGAGCUUCAGCAUGGACUUGAGAGUGAAGCGCAAGGAAAGAAAUUGAAUUUCCAGAAAAUACUAAUCCUACAUCAAAGCAACAAGAUAGCUUGGUGUGUGUGGACAUUGCUAUCCUCAUUCCUGGCGCCGGGAGCAUCACAACAACACAUGUUUCCCAACACAGGCCAGGAUGCUUCUGACUCCUGGGAGGAUUGGCAGACCAGCCUCUGGAGGCUUCUCCUUGCACUGCUGAUCCCUGCCUCACACCCUGGUGCUCCCUUUUGGCUCCCAGAACACACUCAGCAGGAAUCAGCCACCCACAUGCCUGCAGAGGCAGCUCAGCCAUAAGAGCAAAGAGGUUGAAACAAACACACAUCUAAACCCCCCAUUUUAGGGAAAGGGGCCUGCACCCAGAACUGUGCUUUCCUUAAACAUUUCUUAGACAACUCCCCACACAGGUACAACAUUUCCAGGGCUUUCCUGGGCAUUUCUCAGCACAGUGCUCUGCUCCCACCUUGAAAGCUAUCAGUUCUGAGUUGUAGCAGCUUUCUAGAGGCCAGCCAUCAGAGGAUGGCUCUGCAUGUCCAGUGUCUGAACUUAGAUCCCUGACAGGCUCAGACUCUGCAGCAGCCGCACACCCACAUAAGAGGGCAAGGCAGCCCACACGCGACUAUUAUGCUCCCUCAACACAGGGGUGGGGAUUGUGGAGAGAGGGUCCCACAUAUUAACAUGACCUGCAAGAUCUAAGAUUUGACCAAUCUUUAUAUUGAGAGGCAAAUGUUGAAAUGUGAUUGAAGGGUGACUCUCCCAUCCCGAAGGCCCCAGGAGGGAAGAAUACAUACUGUUGUGGUGAAUUUGGGCUUAUUGCGGCAAUAGGAAGCUGGAACCAGAACUCAGGGACUUCUGGGGACCUGUUGGUUGUGCUUUUUCACUUCAGAGAAUAAUAACUAAGAAGGAAUCCCAAUAAUUACAGCCCAGGUGUGCAAGGCCCACUGCUUGUGCUCAUAACGCAACUCCAUUUCCCAUCUGUGUAACAGAGGUGCUGAAACUGUGACAGAUCUGUCAUUCUGGUUCCAAACCUGGCCAGGAGACUGCAUCAUCUCCAAAUAUUAGUGAUUUGCUUAAAACUAAGAAGGAAAACCAAGCCACCUGUCUCCCGCCUUCUUAGGCAGCAUUUUCACCUUUCACCCUUCAUGGGGCUGCUUUGUCUUCAUGGGUUCUAAUCUCAAGAUGAAUGAUUGAGAGAGGUCAGACCCAGGCUUUCUAAAGUUGUUUGGAUUUUCUAGGGAAUCUAUGGAUUUACCUCAUCACUGAUAGCUCUCUUAAGUUACUACAUUCUUACAUCAACUCUGCAAAUUUGGGUCAGAGAACAUCUUAUUUAAUGGAUAGGAGUGCCACACAAGAAUCAGAGAAAUGCUCAGCCCCAAGAGCUGGACUCAGACACUUCAGGGCUCUUUAUGAAUGUUUGUUAACUUGAUUAUUGUAUUAGUCUGUUCUCAGGCUGCUGAUAAAAGCAUACCCAAGGCUGGGUAAUUAAUGAAGGAAAAAGGUUUA